rnacentral:rRNA from 1 species
GACGAACGCUGGCGGCGUGCUUAACACAUGCAAGUCGAACGGAAAGGCCCUGCUUUUGUGGGGUGCUCGAGUGGCGAACGGGUGAGUAACACGUGAGUAACCUGCCCUUGACUUUGGGAUAACUUCAGGAAACUGGGGCUAAUACCGGAUAGGAGCUCCUGCUGCAUGGUGGGGGUUGGAAAGUUUCGGCGGUUGGGGAUGGACUCGCGGCUUAUCAGCUUGUUGGUGGGGUAGUGGCUUACCAAGGCUUUGACGGGUAGCCGGCCUGAGAGGGUGACCGGCCACCAUGGGACUGAGAUACGGCCCAGACUCCUACGGGAGGCAGCAGUGGGGAAUAUUGCACAAUGGGCGGGAGCCUGAUGCAGCAACGCCGCGUGCGGGAUGACGGCCUUCGGGUUGUAAACCGCUUUCGCCUGUGACGAAGCGCGAGUGACGGUAAUGGGUAAAGAAGCACCGGCUAACUACGUG